rnacentral:rRNA from 1 species
UGAGGAAUAUUGGUCAAUGGACGAGAGUCUGAACCAGCCAAGUAGCGUGCAGGAUGACGGCCCUAUGGGUUGUAAACUGCUUUUGUUUGGGAAUAAUCGACAUUACGUGUAAUGUUUUGCAUGUACCAUUCGAAUAAGGACCGGCUAAUUCCGUGCCAGCAGCCGCGGUAAUACGGAAGGUCCAGGCGUUAUCCGGAUUUAUUGGGUUUAAAGGGAGUGUAGGCGGUUGGUUAAGCGUGUUGUGAAAUGUAGAUGCUCAACAUCUGACUUGCAGCGCGAACUGGCUGACUUGAGUACACACAACGUAGGCGGAAUUCAUGGUGUAGCGGUGAAAUGCUUAGAUAUCAUGAAGAACUCCGAUUGCGAAGGCAGCUUACGGGAGCACAACUGACGCUGAAGCUCGAAGGUGCGGGUAUCGAACAGG